rnacentral:misc_RNA from 1 species
AGAGAGUAAAAGGGAUAGACAAUAUUAGUUUAUGAAAAAAAGAUUUUUUUCCAUCAACCAUUAUAAGUGAAACACAAUAGACCAUAUAAACUUUCUAAAUGGGUGUUCAUAGGUAUCUAAUUAUGAUAUCAAAAAUACAGUACUCUCCCACCUGUUACAUUUAGGAAAAUUUCUAUUUCUGGUUAAAUGUGCCCGAAUACUUAUAGGCGAAACUACCAUGUUAAAGUGUCAUUUUUCUUUCUGUCUCCCAGUUAAUCUGAAGAAUACUUUACAAAUAAUUAAGCAAUGACCUGAUAGACGGCGUGAUUAUUCCGUCAUUUCAGAAGGACACAGCUGACAAUCCUCUAUGAAAAGUAGACGAAGUAUCGGUGACAGCUGGUCGAAUAAUGGUUACUAACAUACAUUUUAUUAAUACCUUUCAGUUUCUUAAAUAAAAAAAAAAUUAAUCAAAAAAACUUGCAUUCGUAACAAAGAAAUCAUAAUUCACGAUUGGGUAUUAGUUUAUAUAUCCAUAAUAUCGACAGUUUAUUCGUAUUUUCAGACACUUUCCACACAUUUCGAAGGCAGUUUUUUUUCUUGAGCACAUCCUGCCAACUUAACCAACAGCAAGAACACAUGAAUACUUGAACUGCACCAACAAAUAUUCUCUAUGACAAGCAAAUUGGCCGCAACACAAAGUAAAAAAUUCUUCUGUUGCUUAAUAAAAUAAUACCAGUUAAAGUGAAAAAGGGACGUUAAACUCUAAGGUUGCCACUUGGGAUACUUCUAUCUGUCUAUCUAUCUAUCUAUCCAACCAUCUUUUUAUCUAUCUGUCUUAAAGAUCUUAUUUAAAACAAAUAUUUUUUUAAUCAAUUCUUUUAAAAUAAGUUAAGAGCGAUAAUUCUCCUUCGACUAGUAGAUACGAAACUCUGACGUAAGAAAAUGUCAUUCGAUAGAAUUAAAAAGAUGGCCCCUGUCAACAUUCGCCUCAACCCAUUUGGGGCUGUGAUUUUAACUAUAUGUAUAGCAUGCGGACUUAUUUACAAUUUUGGUUUACUGAACUGGUUCCAGAAAGAGGAGAGGAUUUGCAUGAAGGAAUUGUUAUCCGUCAGUAUUGAAUUGGCACGUCGGGGUGGCCGAAAAGUAUUAGAGGUCCGCGAAAAGAAUGCAUUAUCGGCGAAAGUGAAGGGAUUUACUAAAGAAGGGGCCACCGAAUUAAAGACCCUCGGAGAUAUGGAAUCACAUCGCGCAAUUCUUUAUGGCAUGGCUAAAGCUUUUCCGGGACUUAAAGUCAUAUCAGAAGAACACGAGACAAAGCCUGUUGAUUUUCACAACAUAGAGGACACGGCAAAGCAAAGAGAAGAUGUGAAUAAAGAGAUAAAAUCUGACCAGAGAAUUCCACUGAAUGAAAUUGUUGUUUGGAUUGAUCCUUUAGAUGCUACUCAGGAAUAUACUGAGGACCUACGUCAAUAUGUUACAACCAUGGUUUGUGUGGCUGUGAAUGGUGAUCCUACAAUUGGUGUUAUUCAUAGUCCAUUUGAUGAUCAAACUUAUUGGGCAUGGGUGAGUUAUGGGCAUUCAUCAAAUUUAAAACCCUUGGAGAAAGUCCACUUGUCCAAUAAGAAGCCUGCACAAAUCAUUGUUUCCCGUUCUCAUCCAGGAAAAGUAGUAGAUGUUAUCAAAAAAGCAUUUGGAGACGACACUGUUGUGACUGAAGCUGGUGGAGCAGGUUACAAAGCUUUAAAUGUUGUUAAAGGGCUAUCAAAUGCAUAUGUACACACAACAGCUAUCAAGAAAUGGGAUAUCUGUGCUGGCAAUGCAAUUUUAAAUGCACUCAACGGGAAAAUGACCACCCUGAAUGGAGAUUAUAUUGAUUACUCCAGCAAAGACUUUGUACAAAAUGAUAAAGGCCUUUUAGCUACAAUGCAGUACCAUUACCAUUAUUUGGAACACCUGGAACCAUUAGCAAAGCAAUUAGAAAAGAAAACCUAGACCACAUCAUCUAUAGGUUCGGUAAACAAAAUCUUCCUACGUGAAAAUGAGAUUUGUCAUUGGACUGCAGCCAUACAGGAGCACCACCUUGAAAGGUUUUAGUUA